rnacentral:rRNA from 1 species
CCUACGGGAGGCAGCAGUGGGGAAUCUUGCGCAAUGGGCGAAAGCCUGACGCAGCCAUGCCGCGUGAAUGAUGAAGGUCUUAGGAUUGUAAAAUUCUUUCACCGAGGACGAUAAUGACGGUACUCGGAGAAGAAGCCCCGGCUAACUUCGUGCCAGCAGCCGCGGUAAUACGAAGGGGGCUAGCGUUGCUCGGAAUUACUGGGCGUAAAGGGAGCGUAGGCGGAUAGUUUAGUCAGAGGUGAAAGCCCAGGGCUCAACCUUGGAAUUGCCUUUGAUACUGGCUAUCUUGAGUACGGAAGAGGUAUGUGGAACUCCGAGUGUAGAGGUGAAAUUCGUAGAUAUUCGGAAGAACACCAGUGGCGAAGGCGACAUACUGGUCCGUUACUGACGCUGAGGCUCGAAAGCGUGGGGAGCAAACAGGAUUAGAUACCCUGGUAGUCCACGCUGUAAACGAUGAGUGCUAGUUGUCGGCAUGCAUGCAUGUCGGUGACGCAGCUACGACAUAAGACACUCCGCCGUCGGGUAGGUACGGUCGCGAGAAUAAACGUACGAAGAAGUAGACGGCGUGAGACGUGCCGACGGACGACGACGAGGGAGGUUAGG